rnacentral:rRNA from 1 species
UCGAACGCUUCAACAAUGAAGAGUGGCAGACGGGUGAGUAACGCGUGGGAACCUUCCCAGUGGUACGGAAUAGCCCAGGGAAACUUGGGGUAAUACCGUAUAAGCCCUUAGGGGGAAAGAUUUAUCGCCAUUGGAUGGGCCCGCGUCGGAUUAGCUUGUUGGUGAGGUAAAAGCUCACCAAGGCGACGAUCCGUAGCUGGUCUGAGAGGAUGAUCAGCCACACUGGGACUGAGACACGGCCCAGACUCCUACGGGAGGCAGCAGUGGGGAAUAUUGGACAAUGGGCGCAAGCCUGAUCCAGCCAUGCCGCGUGAGUGACGAAGGCCUUAGGGUUGUAAAGCUCUUUUGGCGGGGACGAUAAUGACGGUACCCGCAGAAUAAGCUCCGGCUAACUUCGUGCCAGCAGCCGCGGUAAUACGAAGGGAGCUAGCGUUGUUCGGAAUUACUGGGCGUAAAGCGCACGUAGGCGGACUUGUUAGUCAGGGGUGAAAUCCCGGGGCCCAACCUCGGAACUGCCUUUGAUACUGCAAGUCUUGAGUCCGGAAGAGGUGGGUGGAAUUCCUAGUGUAGAGGUGAAAUUCGUAGAUAUUAGGAAGAACACCGGUGGCGAAG